rnacentral:rRNA from 1 species
UAGGGAAUCUUCCGCAAUGGACGAAAGUCUGACGGAGCAACGCCGCGUGAGUGAUGAAGGCUUUCGGAUCGUAAAACUCUGUUGUUAGGGAAGAACAAGUUGGGUAGUAACUGACCCAACCUUCACGGUACCUAACCAGAAAGCCACGGCUAACUACGUUCCAGCAGCCGCGGUAAUACGUAGGUGGCAAGCGUUGUCCGGAAUUAUUGGGCGUAAAGCGCUCGCAGGCGGUCUUUUAAGUCUGAUGUGAAAGCCCACGGCUUAACCGUGGAGGGUCAUUGGAAACUGGAGGACUUGAGGACAGAAGAGGGGAGUGGAAUUCCAGGUGUAGCGGUGAAAUGCGUAGAUAUGUGGAGGAACACCAGGGGCGAAGGCGGCACUCUGGUCUGUAACUGACGCUGAGGAGCGAAAGCGUGGUUAGCGAACGGG